CCUACGGGAGGCAGCAGUGAGGAAUAUUGGUCAAUGGACGCGAGUCUGAACCAGCCAAGUAGCGUGAAGGAUGACUGCCCUACUGGUUGUAAACUUCUUUUAUAUGGGAAUAAAAUGUUCCACGUGUGGGUUUUUGUAUGUACCAUAUGAAUAAGGAUCGGCUAACUCCGUGCCAGCAGCCGCGGUAAUACGGAGGAUCCGAGCGUUAUCCGGAUUUAUUGGGUUUAAAGGGAGCGUAGGUGGGUUGUUAAGUCAGUUGUGAAAGUUUGCGGCUCAACCGUAAAAUUGCAGUUGAAACUGGCAGUCUUGAGUACAGUAGAGGUGGGCGGAAUUCGUGGUGUAGCGGUGAAAUGCUUAGAUAUCACGGAGAACUCCGAUUGCGAAGGCAGCUCACUAGACUGCAACUGACACUGAGGCUCGAAAGUGUGGGUAUCAAACAGGAUUAGAUACCCUUGUAGUC
rnacentral:rRNA from 1 species